AGAUGGUUUGUUUUUUGGCUUGGGACGUCGAGAGGUAGAUUCAUCAUCGUCACCAUCGUGAAAAGGAGACCACAUAUUCGUUGGACCUUCAAUUCCCAAAGGUUCGCCAGCACCUUUUUCCAUGUAAAUUUUUGCACCUUCCGGCAUUUCAGGUAAUUUUUCCCAUGCGUUAAAUUGAGUAGAAUUAGCAGGGCAUUUACUUGGCGAUCCGGCCUUUUUAUAACCACCAUCCCCUUUUGGAUUUGGAGUUUUGGCAUAUUGCUUCAUCAACGUUAUAAAAUUUCUCGACACUCUACGCUCGUCAUCUUUGUCAAUAACGACUAAUCCAUAAUGAUUAGGUUCGGCUGAAUAUUCGUAGACCAGACCACCAGAGAAAACUGGGGUCAUAUCGUGUGAAUAUAUUGCUUCAAUCUCCGUAAAAGGUCGGUUAGGAGUCGUAUCGUCGUUUAUUUCAACAGUAUUGCAACCAAAUUCUGACAAGAAUAGCGGAAUUGAAUAGUUACUAAAUUCCUUGAUGCGAUCAUAAUAACCUGAAACAGUCAUACUUGAGUAUCCACACCAUUCAUACAUAUUGAAAGCAUAAAAAUCUGCUCGUUCGCUCUCAUCUCCACAAUUAAAAUAAUGAGCUAGCUGUAAACGGUUUUCUGCUACAUCGGCAGCAGAAUAACCA